CAAGUUUUCCUCUGCACGUGUUUUGAUAAAUCUCCCCCAAGGUCUCUAGCUUCAGUGGUAUCAGUCAAAUCAUUUCUGAACAGUUUUUAGAUUUACUUGCAUCAGCAGCAGGCACCAUUGUAGAGAGAUAAUCGAAGUUCUUCUCUUCACCUGUGUGUUAUUCUAAUGUUUAAAUGAUUAAUCACCUCAGAAACUGGUUCAUCCAUAGCAUCGUCCUGAUCCUCACCCAUGUCAUCAUCUUCACUUUCACUAUCUCCUUCUCCAUCACUUUCCUCCUCAUCCAAGAUCCAUGCCGCCUGUUCUUCCUCAGUGGGCCACGUCUGCUCGCCUUCCAUAGGAUCAGGAACUACCUCGGACUGCAAAGACUCUUGUAGUGAUGGAUCGGCCUUCAUCAGAACCUUCACAUCUUCCUCCAUCUCUGCACAGUUUGCAGGUUCA